rnacentral:lncRNA from 1 species
CAAAAACUUCUUCAGUUACAUAUGAAAGUAUCGGUUUUGUUUAUACCAGAUAUUGCGAAAUUGUUUAAGGGAAGUGACGCAAAUCGAAUAUAUCCACGGCACUUACAAUUUCCUAAUUGUACUGUAAUAGAUAUUGGUACUUACUGUUUUGGAGAUUGUUGUGCGUAGUAUAAACACAUAAAACUACGACACAGCUACCGAUAAAGACAUAGGCGUUUUGGCAGAGAAAAAUAAGAUGUGUAAAUAAUGAGAGAUGC